AAAAAGACAAACACUAGAUUUUUAUAUCAAACGUUUGACCGUCCGUCUUAUAUGAAAUUUUUUUAUAAUUAUUAUUUUCAUUGUUGUUAGAUGAUAAAACAUGAUUAAUACUUUAUGCGUGACUUGUCUUUUUAAUUUUUUUCAUAAUUUUUUCAAAUAAGAUAGACGGUUAAACAUUGAAUACGAAAACCCAGGGUUUGUCUUAUU
rfam:Oryza rufipogon genomic scaffold, chr02